UGCCCACAUCAUUAUUAGACUGGUGAGGUGUUGCAUCACACUUUUGUUGAUGGCUUGGACAAGACAUCAAAGAUGAAUCUUGACUUAGCUUGUGGGAGUAGUUGCAUGGCAAGGUCGUAUAGUGAAGUCCAGCUCCCACUUAACAAUUUCACUGCUAAUGAUAAUAAUUGGCAAGUAGAUGGGGAAUCACGAAGAGCACUUAAACAGAAGGCAACAGGUGAAAUUGAGCUUGAUUAUUUCUCAUCCAUGAGAGCAGAUAUAGAGAAAUUAGCAAAUCAGAUGAAUAGAAUGACAAUGCACCAAACGCAACAUGUGCAACUGAUGUCUACUUGUUGUAAGUUAUAUGGUGAAGAUCACACGAGUGACAUAUAUCACACGAAUCCUGAAUUCAUAUAUUAUGUGGGCAACAUAGAAGAGGUUCGAUAAAUCAACAUGCACAAUAUGAGAACACUUACAACCCAAACUAGAAGAAUCACCCUAACUUCUCUUGGGGUGGAAAUCAGACGACUCAGAAUCAGUAUAGACCCCAAGGAAAUUACAAUCAAGCUCAGAAGCCACCCUAGCAAGUAUAGGAGAGUAUGAAUAACCCCAUGAAGAAUUUGUUGCUAGACAAUCAAUAACUCAGGACCAACUUUAGAAAUAUUGAGAGAUAAGUUAGGUAGUUAGCAUCAAAUCAAAAUACUAGGCCUGCGGCGCUCUUUCCAGUGAUAUAGAGAAUACCUCAAGUUAAUGUAGACAGACUCGGAAGGGAAUUAAAAGAAGUACCAAAGAAGAGAAUAGAUAAGCAUAUACCUGAGGGGGAGUUGAUUCAUAAAGUAACAUACGAGUCAAAGAAAGAUGAUGCCAGUAGGUGCUAUAAGGCCACUACCGCCUUUCCCCCAUAGUUUACAGAAGAAGAAUGAUGAUCACAUAUUUAACAAAUUUCUCUCUUUGUUGAGUCAUGUUUAAUUAAAUAUUCCAUUGGUGGAUGUACUUCAUGAAAUUCAAAAAUAUGCUAAGUACAUCAAAGAUAUAGUGGCUCACAAGAGGAAAUUGACUAAAUUCGAGACAGUCGCACUUAUUGAGGAAUGCACUUCGAGGGUCCAAAACAAGCUUCCUCCAAAGCUUAAGGAUCCUGGCAGCUUCACCAUCCCUGUGUGGAUUGGUAAUGUUGAUGUAGGUCAUGCUCUAUAUGAUUUGGGGGCGAGCAUAAAUCUGAUGUCAUUGUCCUUGUUCAAGCAAUUGGUAUCUACAUGUAGGGAUUAAACCCUUUUGAGGCCCUAAAUAGGCCAAGUGGGCCUCCACCCAAGGUGUCAAUUGAAGAAGCUCCAAAAUUGGAACUUAAACCCUUGCCCUCUCACCUUCAAUAUGCCUAUUUGGGUAGUUCUGAAACUCUACCUGUUAUUGUUUCCUCUAACUUGUAUAAAUUUCAGGAAGAAAAGCUCUUAAGAGUGCUGCAUGAGAACAAGCGAGCAAUAGGGUGGACGACGUCUGACAUUAUAGGCAUUAGUCCGGCCUUCUGCAUGAUAUAAUUCUCAUGGAUGAAGGACAUAAGACAAAUGUAGAGCACCAAUGCCUCCUAAAUCCAAUCAUGAAAGAGGUGGUAAGAAAAGAAGUGAUUAAAUGGCUUGAUACAGGUAUUAUAUUUCCAAUCUCUAAUAGCAAAUGGGUAAGCCUCGUCCAAUAUGUGUCUGGGAAGGGGUAAUGACUAUAGUGGUUAAUGAAAAUAAUGCUUGAUUCCCAUAAGAACUAUGACUCGGUGGAGAAUUUGCAUAGAUUAUAAAAAUUAAACAAUGCCACAAUUGACCAAAUACUUGAUAGACUAGCUGGAAAGGAAUAUUAUUGUUUCCUAGAUGUCUAUUUAGGGUAUAAUCAGAAUUCUAUCGUCCUAGAGGACCAAAAGAAUACCACAAUUAUGUGUCCCUGUAAAACAUAUACGUUCAAGAGAAUGUCAUUUCUGUAAUGCACAUGCGACUUUUCAAAGUUGUAUGAUGGCUAUUUUUACUGACAUGGUUGAAAGAUUUGUAGAAGUGUUCAUGGAUGAUUUUUCUGUGUUUGGGUAUUCUUUUGAUAAUUGUUUAAUGAACCUCAAUAAAGUGCUUGUUAGGUGUGAAGAGACAAACUUGGUGCUAAACUGGGAGAAGUACCAUUUCAUGGUACGAGAAGGUAUAGUCUUGGUGCACAAGGUGUCCUAAAAUAGUCUGCACGUGGACAAGGCAAAAGUGUAGGUGAUUGAAAAAUUACCGCCACCUACAUCUGUUAAGGGCAUUCAUAGUUUCUUGGGCCAUUCAGGUUUUUAUCGUCGUUUCAUUAAAGAUUUUUCAAAAAUUUCCUCUCCUCUAUGCAAGCUUCUUGAGAAAGAUAUCCCCUUCAAAUUUGAUGAUGCCUGUCUGAAAGCAUUUGAGAAGAUAAAGAAAAUAUUGGUGACUGCAUCAAUUAUCAUUGCCCUGGACCGGGCGCAACCAUUUGAGUUGAUGUGCGAUGCGAGCAAUGUCACAAUAGGAGCUAUUUUGGGACAACAGAAGGAUAAAAAAUUUCACUACAUUUAUUAUGCGAGCAAAACUCUGAAUCUAACCCAUAUGAACUACACUUUUACUGAAAAAGAGUUGCUUGCAAUAUUGUGGGCGUUUGACAAGUUCUUAUCCUAUUUUGUGGGAGCCAAAGUCAUCGUCUACACAAAUCACUCAACUAUAAGGUAUUUGUUUGAAAAGAGAGGCGCCAAGCCGAGGCUGAUUUGUUGGGUUCUCCUUUUGCAAGAAUUUGACUUGUAGAUACGAGAUUGUCACACCUCCUUUUUUACUACACCCCCGUAAAGGGGUAUAAGGGAGUUUUUCCAAUUUAAAGUGACAAUCGAAACGGGAUAAUUUUAUUAAAAAUUCAGAGUCGCCACUUGGGAUAAUUUAUGGUGUCCCAAGUCACCGAUUCAAAUCCCGAAUCGAGGAAAAGAUUGACUAUAUUUUUCAGUCCGCGAACACAGAAAUUCGGGUAAAGAAUUCUGUUAACUCGUUGGAAGGUGUUAGGCAUACCCGGAUUUCGUGGUUCUGGCACAGUCGCUUAACUGUUAUCAUUGGCCUAAUUAUCUAAUUUUAAAACACUUUUUAACCGCUUUUAUUCAUUUUUAGGAAGAUUUCAACGUUAUACAAAACACGCCUUUAGAUCACGCCACAUGAAAUGCACUCGCGAUCCGCGACAUAUUUUAUUUAACGUUAUUAGGAUUUGGAUUUGGGUCACAUGAAAUGCACACCCGAGUUUAGGAAAGUAAUUUUUAAAAUAGCUCGCCUAAAGCAACUAUGCAUUUUAAAUUUGCGGGGGCCAUGGAAAAUUCAACUAAAUGGUGCUCCUCGAUUUCUAAAGGAUUAAAAUUAAUUAAGUGAGGGCCAUGCGUUUGAGAUUUUAUUUGGCAUGGCACGCCUCAAAUUAUUCCAAAGGGCUUUACUCGACUAAAAUAAACUACGGAUAUUCAUAAGUUAUUAUUUCUUAAACUACUUCAAUUUUUUCUUUUUAAAUCUAGUAGAUGAAAUAAUAUAUAUUUCUACAUAUAACAUCAGAUCAUUAAACCUAUCCAGGAGACAAAAGCACAAACAAAACGUAUAAACUUAUCCUGAAUAUUAAUGGUCUAAGAAACUCUAUUCAACACAUAAUUACAGAGAUUCAAUAUUCAUGAAUCAAAAAAUGCUAACCCAAGAACCCGUUUCGUGCUUCUGUACUCGUUGUCCAAUUAACUUACAAUUCAAACAAUUUCAAUGGAUAAACUACCAUGACAAUCCAUUAGAACUAACAACCAGUGCCUAACUCUACAUUCACAAACCAUGCUACUGAAGACAAAAUAAGGAUCGAAGCUAGAGCCACUAAUCUCUCACAUGAAUUUCGGAAAUAGGAAACAAACUUCAACCAUAUCAAUAUAAUUACUAAAAUCAAUGGAAAUGGAAGAACAUGAAAUCCUCUGAGAUGUAUUACUCAAAUUCAUAGCAGUGACAACUUGAUACUAACAAGGGUACAUUUAGAGCCAACAAAGUAAUAUAACUGAAAAGCAUUUAAGAUCCAGCAAGCAAUUCCUCAACAAAAAAAAUAGCAAAAUAACUCAACAAAACAUUGAACUAACAGCAUGCCGUGAAUUUAAUACUUCUCAUUUCCAGUAAUAAAUACAAACAAUUAGAGAUUCAGGGAUAUGUACCUAACUGCAGAGAGACUCGUAGGAACAAUGACCCAAAUAAAGGUCCAAAUUGAUAAAUGAAAUUGGGCAACAGAAACGGCCAAACAAGGAGACAACAGUAGCAAAAACCAAGCAAUGGCUUAUAGAGCUUCAGCAAUAAUCAACAACAAACAAACCGUAGACAGCCUCCAAUCACAGCUAAAAUCAGCUUUGUAAAUAACUGAACUUGUAUAAAAGCAACAGAGAUAUCAGGCAACUCUUGAAAUCUCUUUAAUGAUUUUGAUUUUUUGAUUCAGCCGCUGAUCUUCUUGGAUGGGGGUGAUGAUUUUGGUCUAUCUUUUCUUCUUUUAGAAAUGAAGCGCAAGAAGCAGAAGGAAGGGCUCCGUGUUGCGCCAUUUGUAAUGGCAGGGGUCUAAAAAAAAUCGUCUCCUCCCUCUCUUGUCUAGGUUUUAGGGAUUUAAGGGUAGGGAAAUGGGUAUUGGGCUUGGGUCAAGGAAAG
rnacentral:lncRNA from 1 species